rnacentral:rRNA from 1 species
CCUACGGGAGGCAGCAGUGGGGAAUAUUGCACAAUGGGGGGAACCCUGAUGCAGCAACGCCGCGUGGAGGAUGACACAUUUCGGUGCGUAAACUCCUUUUAUAUAGGAAGAUAAUGACGGUACUAUAUGAAUAAGCGCCGGCUAACUCCGUGCCAGCAGCCGCGGUAAU